AAAAAGGCAAACUCUGGAUUUUCGUGUCCAACUUUAACUGUCCGUUUUAUAUGAAAUUUUUUUAUAAUUUGUAUUUUUAUUGUUGUUAGAUUAUAAAACAUGAUUAAUAUUUUAUGCGUGACUUGUCUUUUUAUUUUUUUCAUAACUUUUUCAAAUAAGACGGACGGUCAAACGUUGGACACAAAAACC
rnacentral:pre_miRNA from 1 species